UAUUCUGCCCUACGGGGAAGGAUGAGAAGCUUCGACUAAGGUUCGACUCGAGCGUCAGUGAGAGAACGUUGCCGCA
rnacentral:sRNA from 1 species